GACGAACGCUGGCGGCGUGCUUAACGCAUGCAAGUCGAACGGAGAAUCCCCUUCGGGGGAGACUUAGUGGCGGACGGGUGAGUAACGCGUGAGCAAUCUGCCUUACACAGGGGAAUAACAACCGGAAACGGUUGCUAAUACCGCAUAACACAGCGAGUGGGCAUCCACAUGCUGUCAAAGGAGCAAUCCGGUGUAAGAUGAGCUCGCGUCCGAUUAGCUAGUUGGUGAGGUAACGGCCCACCAAGGCAACGAUCGGUAGCCGGACUGAGAGGUUGAACGGCCACAUUGGGACUGAGACACGGCCCAG
rnacentral:rRNA from 1 species